CCAUGUCAUACCUUCCUGUUCAGAAGAACAGAAUGCAAGAUUAUCAAAGUGUUCGUGACAUGGAAGAAGUAAACAAAGUUUUUAAGUUUUAGCAAAACGACCCGGCUUGUGCAAUCAAUGGUUGAGCUUCCGUGUUGUCUCGGGCUAUCACGGCUUUCACAAACAAGUUCAUCCUCUCUGAAGCAUUCUCACCAUAUGAUCUGCAAGCACUUUUCAUCUGCCCAGCCAGUAAAAAGCAUAUAGGGACCAGCAUGGCCAGAAGAGAGGCAAUGGCUCCAAGGGCUGUACUAGCCGCCACUUGAACCGGGUGCAUGACCGGAUGAACCGGCUCUCCUU